AUAACUUAGCGGGAGUGAGAAAAACAAGGCAUUGUGAGCUAACGUUACGUACCGAGUAAAGUUAGUACAAGGGGGAGUGACAGACUGCGGCUGGAAAUCAUAAG